rnacentral:lncRNA from 1 species
CCUAGUAACAGGGCCUUCGCAGUUCUCUCGCGUCUUUUGGCAACGCCGUUCGCUCUUCCCUUCCGCAGUACUCAGGAUGUCUGAUGAACAACCCGCCGCCGCUCCUGAGGCCGAGGCCCCCCCUCCCUGCCCCGAAACACAAGCCGCCCUUAGCUUGUGUGUAAAGGAGAACGGAGAGACGAACUGCGCGGCGUUAUUGGAGGCGCACCAGGAAUGUCUGAAGAAACUCGGUCUUUAGGCGUGAGAGAGACCUGUCACCCAGCAAAUCACCUUAGACCAUAGCAAUGCGUUCAACAGCGCAGCGAAAAAGAAUCAGAUAAAACAAUAAGACUAUCAGGCAGCGAUGAUUCUCCCUCAACACUCUGUAAUUAAUUAGUAAUCGUCUUUUAGUCACCAAAUGCGUGUUCUAAAAUGAGAAAAAUAAAACGCUUAUUUCUCUUCUUAGAGAUGCAUUUCCGACCACUGUUAAAGACCAGGUAAUUCAGUGUUGUGAUGUCUUGUGUAUAGCUAGGUUAGCGGUAUGUUUUUAUGAACACAGUCGCUUGUGAAUAAAUAUGAAACCGUAA